rnacentral:rRNA from 1 species
GACGAACGCUGGCGGCGUGCUUAACACAUGCAAGUCGAGCGGUAAGGCCUCUUCGGGGGUACACGAGCGGCGCACGGGUGAGUAACACGUGGGUGACCUGCCCUCAGCUCUGGGAUAAGCCUGGGAAACUGGGUCUAAUACCGGAUAUGACCUUUCCUCGCAUGGGGUUUGGUGGAAAGUUUUUUCGGCUGGGGAUGGGCCCGCGGCCUAUCAGCUUGUUGGUGGGGUGAUGGCCUACCAAGGCGACGACGGGUAGCCGGCCUGAGAGGGCGACCGGCCACACUGGGACUGAGACACGGCCCAGACUCCUACGGGAGGCAGCAGGGGGGAAUAUUGCGCAAUGGGCGGAAGACUGACGCAGCGACGCCGCGUGGGGGAUGACGGCCUUCGGGUUGUAAACCUCUUUCGACCCCGACGAAUUUGGACGGUAGGGGUAGAAGAAGCACCGGCCAACUACGUG